UACGUAGGGUGCAAGCGUUGUCCGGAAUUAUUGGGCGUAAAGAGCUCGUAGGCGGUCUGUCGCGUCUGCUGUGAAAACCUAGGGCUUAACUCUGGGCGUGCAGUGGGUACGGGCAGGCUAGAGUGCGGUAGGGGAGACUGGAAUUCCUGGUGUAGCGGUGAAAUGCGUAGAUAUCGUAAGGAAGACCAGUGGCGAAGGCGGGUCUCUGGACAGUUCCUGACGCUGAGGAGCGAAAGUGUGGGGAGCGAACAGG
rnacentral:rRNA from 1 species